rnacentral:snRNA from 1 species
AUACUUACCUGGCAGGGGAGAUACCAUGGCAGGGCGAGGCUUAUCCAUUGCACUCAGGGUGUGCUGACCCCUGUGAUUUCCCCAAAUGUGGAAAACUCUACUGCAUAAUUUGUGGUAGUGGGGGACUGCGUUUGUGCUUUCCCCUG